rfam:Capsicum annuum cultivar Zunla-1 chromosome 5, whole genome shotgun sequence
UAAUCGGUUUGGACAUUGCUUGAGUUUUCCAUUAAAUCUCUCCCAUACCUCAUAUAGAGCCUCUCCAUUCAAUCGAUGAAAGUUUGUGAUUUCAUCAUGCAAUUG